rnacentral:rRNA from 1 species
GGAGGGUGCAAGCGUUAAUCGGGAAUUACUGGGGCGUAAAGCGAGUGUAGGCGGCUGCAUAAGUCGGAUGUGAAAGCCCUGGGGCUUAACCUGGGAAUGGCAUUCGAUACUGUGCAGCUAGAGUCUGAUAGAGGGAAGCGGAAUUCCGGGUGUAGCGGUGAAAUGCGUAGAGAUCCGGAGGAACACCAGUGGCGAAGGCGGCUUCCUGGAUUAAGACUGACGCUGAGGCUCGAAAGCGUGGGGAGCAAACAGGAUUAGAUACCCUGGUAGUCCACGCCCUAAACGAUGUCAACUAGACGUUGGGCUCAUUUCGGAGUCUAGUGUCGAAGCUAACGCGUUAAGUUGACCGCCUGGGGAGUACGGCCGCAAGGUUG